CAACACUCUCAUUAUGUCUUGCUCAAUCAAAUUUAAUUCUUCAAACCGAAGACUUUUAAAUAUCCGUAACUACACUGAUCGACAAUCUUAACCGAUUGGAGUAGGUAAGAGCAAUUAGAUUUGCCGAUUAUAUAUGUAACUUGAUGAUGGCACUCAAAGGACGCACAUGCAGUGUAAAGUAGUAAAUGGCCUUCAUUGAAACCAGAGCAGCUUUUGCUAGCAGUACGUACGUAAAUACACAUUAUUUAUACUGUCUUUGGACAGAAACUGAUGGACUUCAACCAAAAAGAUCAGUCAAGCCGAAACUAAUUAAUAAAAUUCCAAACUUAUUAUCAAUCAACCGAUCCACAUUGAUGAAUUUCCAACAUAUCAACCGAUCAAAAUCGAUGAAUUUCCAACCGAUCAAAGUUUCCAACAUAGUGCCCGACUGACUAUAUUCAUAUCAACAGGCAUCAGAUGAAAUCCAGAUCAGCAGCUUACCAACAUAACUAUCAUGAUUGAUUAAUGGUUUCCACUUGGAGCACAAGGGCAACUGGAACGACUAUAUAUGAGUUCCGAAUAUUAGAGGUAGAAGCAAACCGUGAAACCGAAAGUAAAUCGCUAACGAAUGUCUUUGAAGUCAAUCGCUAAAUCAUCCGAUCAAAAGGAUCGAUCGUGUCCCAGAAACAUGUUAGAUGACAAUUUUGAAUUUGAUAGAUCUAACAAAUUCCUAAGAGGCAACUUAGUGACAUCAACCAACUGUAUACAAUCAGUCUGCCAAGUUCUUGAAACCUGAUGGAUCGAUCAGGCCACGAGAUUCCGAUUAGCAGAUUACUUAAAUAGCCCUCAUGAUUUGAGGUAUUCAAGGUGGAGUAGAAGGGCAAUUGGAACAAUCUAUAGAUCAGGGCACGAGAUUCCGAUUAGUAGAUAACCAACAUAGCCCUCACUCAUGAUUUGAGGUAUUCAAGGUGGAGCACAAGGGCAAACUAGACAACUGAUUCAGCAAUUGAUAAGGCAUAAGUCAGCUAGACAAUAUUCAUAUCAACAAGCAUCUUAUUCCAAAUACGAGCUGGAAAUGUAUAUGAUGGGACAUUCAAAUCAGCAGAGCUUACCAUCAUGACUGGUGUUUUUUCCAUGGAGUGACUAAUAUGACCACCUCAACACACAUGUUCACAAUGUGUGUUUGUAACUGUGUUAGCCAUUCCAAUGUUCCCCUCCAGGACUCCAGCUUAGGGACAUGAUAGAUCUCAGAAUGAACAAAUCAAAAUCCCACCAUAGUCUUUUUCGUUUUGGAUCAAGCCUGAGGAGAAGCGAAACCAAAGACAAUUAAAGGAUUAUCAUCUUUUUG
rnacentral:lncRNA from 1 species